AUUGCUUCUUGGCCUUUUGGCUAAGAUCAUGUGUAGUAUCUGUUCUUAGCAGUUUAAAAUAAACCCUAAAAAAAUUUUUUUUAAAGCAAGAUGUGGUGUAUAUAUGUGUGUGCACACAUAUACACAUGUGCACGCAGCGGAAUAUUAUUUGGGCAUGAAAAAUGAAAUCUUG
rnacentral:snRNA from 1 species